rnacentral:rRNA from 1 species
UACGAAGGGGGGCUAGCGUUGUUCGGAUUUACUGGGCGUAAAGCGCACGUAGGCGGAUCUUUAAGUCAGAGGUGAAAUCCCAAGGCUCAACCUUGGAACUGCCUUUGAUACUGGGGAUCUUGAGUCCGGGAGAGGUGAGUGGAACUGCGAGUGUAGAGGUGAAAUUCGUAGAUAUUAGGAAGAACACCAGUGGCGAAGGCGGCUCACUGGUCCGGUACUGACGCUGAGGUGCGAAAGCGUGGGGAGCAAACAGG